GCUGAAUGAUCCCUGACUGGUUUAGCUCGCCCGGCAGGAGCUGUCUGGCUGCAUCAGCUGGGUACAAAGCUUGAACCGGUCAGCUGUGCCAGGAAAGGUUCUAAUGGCCCUAAUUCAGCUUCACACACUUUGGCUUCACUCCUUUCUCAAGCCUAAGUGGCCUUGAAGAGGUCCAUUCAGACCACUUGGUAGCAGAUUGGCUUUUACUGCUGUUUUUGGCUGCACUCCUUGACUCGGCUUUUACCGAUGGGAAUAGGCCUGCUCAGGGAGCUGCAUCAGCUCUUGGACUCCAACAAGUGCUUUAAAAUGGUGCAAAUCCAUGUAUGGAGCUUUGCAGGUGGUUAAACCCCAAGUCCUGGUCUGCUUUUGCUAGGCUGGGGUGUGGAUAUGUGAUACAUGACCAGUGUUUGUGAGAGAAAGGGAGGGAUCCCUUCCCAGGAAAUGCUGACAGCAUUCCUCCUAAUGCAGCCCUCAGAGAUAUUGGCUUUCCUGCUGCAAGGACACCUUGCUGCAUUGUGGUCAUCUUUGUCACCACCAGGACCCUCCAGGCCUCUUCUGCCUGGCUGCUUUCCAGCUGGAGGGCCACCAGCACGUAGGGAUGGAAUUGCUCCUCCCGAGAUGUGGGACUCCAUACUUUUUCUGGAACUUGAAGGGGUUUUUGUCAGCCCAUUUUUUCCAGCCUGCUGAUGACCCUCUGGAUGCCAACACAGCCCUCUGGUAUACCCAACACUCCUCCCAGUUUUGUGCCUUCCCCAAAUUUGCGGAGGGUGCACCCUGCUCCAACAUUCUGAUCUUUAAUUAAGAAGUAAACUAAUUAUGCCUGGCUUACACCACUAAUGACUGGCCUCUACAUGUAAUUUGUGUCACUGGUUAUAACACUUUGAGCACAACCAUUCAGCCAAUUUUCAAUCCAACUUUCUUCACAUUUAUUUAGCCCAUACUUCAUUAACUUGUCUGUGAGGAAGCUGUGGGACAGAGUGUCAAAAUGAGGUGAUGUUCCAAAUUUGCUACGGCGAGGUAAAGGACUUUUGCAGCUCACCUGCCUGUGAGCAAACCUAAUGUUUUACUUCCAGAAGUACUGCCAGUCUGUGGUUCUUCUGGAGGAGAGCUGGCAGUGGUAAUGGAAGUAUGGCAGGAAUGAGAGAGAGCCCAUGUCCUGGCUGAGGACACAGCUGCUCUGGCCAGCUAUGGUCUGUCCUGCCCCACAGGCAGGGCUCCUGGAACAGCAGGUCAGCCCCCACCAACAUCUGUGGCCAGUUUGCUUUUCAUCAUCUUGUUUUUAUGAGUGAGUGAAGAGUGGAAAAAUCUGUUUCAGCACAGAGCACCACAGGGUCUGUCACAAUCUUGGACUUGUUUGCUAAGAGCAAUAGUUUUGGGUUUAUACAAAGCCAACAGCCGGAUGGGAAUGGGAAGCUUCUAUCUCUGCACUUUGGCCUGUAAACUCUCUAGAGAAAGCUGCUGUUUGACAUUCCCCUGUGUGGCAGUGGGAUGGGGCUGGGUACAGACUGUGCUCUGCUCCAGUGUCCAUCUCCCUCUCGUGGUGUGACUCCAGCACAGCCACAUGUGCAGCUGUGGGAAUCGCAGCAAAUAUUCAGAUCUCCAGUUUCAGAGGGCUCACAAGCAGCAGUUUCCUUGCCCUGGCACAGUCCAAACUCUUUGUGCUCUAUCUGCUCUUCUUUGCACUGCUCUUAAUGGUGUAUGCUCUCAAAAUUACCAGUACUUCUAAUGCAAACACAUCAUUCCCUCCUCUUCCUGCCCGCUCUGGAGACCCACUGUCCUUUCUGUCCACCUUGACAUGCUCUCAUGACUCACCUUCUCAGUCCAUGCAGCUCCAAAGGUUCAUAAGUGAUACCUGGAAACCAGCUUAUUGGUUAGGAGUGGCAGUCUCUGCAUCCUGGAAUAGGAGUGGGGCAGGAAUGUGUGAAGAGCAGGUUGUAGCUGUCUUACAGCCACAGCAGUGUGUAAAAUAGCUCUGCUCUGUCAUGGCAAAAUAAGUGGCAACUUCAGAGAGAGGUGCAGACUCUCCUCCUGCAGGCUGGUGCUCUGAGUGCUGGGGUAGAAAACAACUCCUCUAUUUCAGCUGCAAGUUUUUCAAGGUAUUUGUUCAAAAUGUUGCUGCUAGUGGGAGGGGGAAUUGUUUGGAAAGGCACUAGUUAGCCAAGGCCACCACAUGCCAAAGACUGCAGUGGUGGUUCAGCAGCUUGGUGAUGAGGAGCUGCCCUCUGGAGCCAUCCCAUUCACCAGUGCCAAGAUUCCCAUGGUGUCCAGCUCAGGAAAUGUGUCUGAGGCUCCAGGAAGGACCAGACAGUCAUGUGUGUCAGGAAACCCAAUGAAAUAUAGGUCAAAGAAAAGCCCAGUGCAUUGUUCUGGCUGGUUCCCCUCGUUUGGUUUUGUGUCCCUUUCCCUUUUUCCAGACAGCUGGAUCAUUUUUCCUGGAGCAAUGGACAUUUCUCCAGGCUGGUCUGGCUGCCUGUGGUCAUGAGAUUGAGUAGCAAGUCCUGGGACUUAGGAGCUGAGAGAGAGAAAAUCUCUCUGGUUCACACCUGAGUCUGAACCUCAAGGCUGUUUGUUUUUCUGGUCAUCUCUAGCAUGGCAGACUGGAUCAUCCACAUUAGAAUCACAGCAUUAUAGAAUAGUCAUUCAGAGAAGAGCUUUGAGAUGAUUGAAUCCAAGCUUUAUAUUGAAUUAGUCUGAAAUUCUGGAGGGGUUUGAAAGCCUGAAGUUGACUGUAUUGCUGUAGUUCAGUAAAGAUGGGAAAUUGAAACAAUUCUAAGUUUCAGCUUCAAACCCCUCUCCUGUUCUCCUGGCGCUAAGGAAAAGCCGAAAUUCAAAAAGGCUCUUUUUCUAAACCCACCUCAAGACAGCAAGAUCCUGUUAGAAAUAACAAAGCUGGCCAGACUUGCCUCUUUUUAGGAUACAAGGCAAAGCAUUUCUCUGCUUCUUCAUUUACUUUUGCAAUCUGAGAGUCAAUUCACCUUCCCUGCAUCCACUUUCAGCUUAAUAACCUUCCCUGCCCUUUCUGCUUCCCUUGCCCUGAUGGGAGGGCUGUGUGUGUCACCCAGGUUAUGGCUGCUUCCAAGGAAAUAAUCCAUUCACACAAAGCUCUGUGUUGUAGGAGGAUGUAUGUGUAAGGCCUUAACAUAGAGCAGAAUGCUAUAAUUUUUCCAGCAAGAAACUCUUCCAGCCUAUAAAUCCCAGUGAUUACUACUUUCUUGCCAAGUAGUUCUUACUAAAAGUGGAAGAUGCUGUACAUAGCAUGGGUUGCUGAUCCUCUUUCUCUCUUUCAAGAGAAAGAGGACUGGUAGCAUCCAGAAAUGAAGCAUCAGACAGUGGAAACAAUUGAAAAUUAAUAGUCAGUGCAAUGGAUAGAGGGAGAGUUACUCCGGCUGUGGGUGGUUACGGGAUUUUGCAAGCAGCGCUACAAAGUGACAUUUUCAUGCGCAAGCACAAAUAGGCAUAAAUCCAUUUGCAAUAGAUUUCACAUUUUGGGAUAGGCAAAAGAAAAAAGUUGUCAUAUCUAUUGGGCAACUCAGUUUCUGCGAAGGAAGAUGUCCUAAAUGUGAUUUAAUUUGCACAAGUGAAUUAAGCCCGCUUGGCAACAGCAAGGAAUUGCUGGCUGACAGUUUGUCAUCACCUCUGACUUUUUUGUUUUCUCCAAAGACAGGAAGUCUCUACCUGAUUUCUGGCUGAGUGGUUCUGCAGAGCAGAGAUUUUCGGAAGACAGAGCAACAGACCUGUCAGCACUUGGAUGAGAUGAGGGAAGUGGGGAAAAGCUGUGUCAGGAGCAGCAACAGGGGGAUGUCCCUGACCUUGCAGUUUGCAGUGACCUCAUGAGCCUGCUUUGGUGCUAGCAUUAGUUUGCUGAUAUCAUGGCUCAAAAAAUGUCUUGGAAAAGAGGGGAGGAAGUAGGACCUAAAUAUUACCAGAAUUCCUGGAAUAGCCUCCCCUGUUUUUUAAAAAAAAUCUGAACAUAAACAACACCAUGUUUUUGUCUCCCAGGAUGAAUUCAUUCUCGGAUGCUGUUCUAGGGGACAUUUAAAGGGGUAGCAGAUGCUGGUGCUGCUGGAUUUUAGGUGAUUAAGGCACAAAUAAUCCCAUGAGCACCACCCAUGCUCACCUUUUUAAAAAGUGGUUUUUGGAGGUGGGAUCCCACCUGUUCAAAAAAUACUCACAUGGACCUGCAAAACAGCCCUACAUCGUGAAGCAGAGAGGAUUGCUUCUGGUCUGAGUGUUUGUGGUUGCAUAGUCCCUUUGGAUUUCAAAUCUUCACAUCCCUUGGGUCUGUGAUUUUAAACUGACCUGGUAAAACAACUGUAGAGUGAGGAAACCUUUCUGUCAGGCCUUCUUCUCAGAGGUUUUGGCAAAGGUUCCUGAGAAAAUCCUCCUUAAGGCAGGUGGAGCUUCCCUGCUGUAAGGAUUUUGAGGAGGCAUAAAGUGGCAGUGGUAACCUUUGACUUGUUAAUUUCUCAUGGUCUAAUGGAAAAGAUUUGCUCCUCUAUCAAAGGGAGAGAAAGAACUGCCACCAGCAGUAAAUGUUGAUCCCAUUCUUUAUGUGAAGUUCUUUUAUUUCCCAAUGGAUAUGUGUAGGGAUUCAGACUUGCUAUCCUGCAAUCAGCAGGAGAGAGAGAUCUUCAAUUUGCAAGAUAGAAAAUUAUUCAAGGAAAAGAAGAAUGUUUGAUCACUGCUAGCUAGUCGCUCUUCUAGUCUGAUUAAAGCAUAUAUAUUCAUUGCCUUGGCACUUAAUGAGGAGCCAGGAGAUGGCACCAGAAGUGCUACAGGAUGUGCUCUGUAAGAAUAUUUACCUGUGUGUGUUGUAGCUGUUAAGAGGUAUUAAAUGGGUUAGACAUUGAUGGCACACAAGAAAGGAAGAGAACAGUCUGUUUAUUUCACUUUCAAAUAUACAUGCUCUUAAUUUGAAGUGCAGCUCUUGACUUCGUUCUUACAUUAUUUAUUAUUAUUAGACACCAACGCCUUCUCAGCAUAUUUAUUUUGUUAAAUUACACCUCUGAAAUUAAAUGCAGCCUCUUGUCAGCUUUAAUGUUCUUCUGCCUAUUCUUAUAAUUAUUAUUGAUAAGAGGUGACUUUCAAGUUAACAGCCAGUGGAUUGAUAAGGCAGCUGUUAUUAUGUUACCUGAGUGCUUUUUGGAAAGCUUAGCUCAAGGGCAAACCGUGAUUUCUCCAGUGUGGAAUGCUGAAUCCCCAGCCUGCAUACUGCUGGCAAAAGUGGUGUUUGUGGCUGUGCUGUGCCUGGGUGAUGUCUGAAAAGCUGCCCCCAAACUGCCCCCAGGCUGCAGAGUUGUGUGUACCUGCAAUCAGUGAGCGUGGCGGCUCUUGGGGGUGCACAGUGGGGUGCCCCCACUGUUGAUUGCUGAGCCGUCAGAGGGUUUCUGCUCCUUUCGCCUCUGCUCUUCCCUCCUGCUCUCCGAGGCCCUUCUCCUCAUUCUCAGGUAGUAGAUCCGGUUGGCUUCUGGGUGGGUGACUUGGCAGAGGGGCAUUUUGUAGAUGGCUGGGUUUUGGGAGGUGAUCAGCAGGAAGAGGAGCGCCGAGAGGCAGAAGGGCCAGGUGCACACUGGCAGCCCGAGCUGGCAGGGGACACAACAGACACGGGGCAGCGCUUUGGUACUGCUUUUUGAUCUCUGUGCUUAUGCCUGCCUGCUGCAGCUAAACUCUUCCCUUUGGGAAGCUGGGAGGGCCUUGCUUUCCCUGAAGACUCAGUGGCUACCAAAUGCCGAUUCAGCUGGCCACACAAAGGUCUGCUUUUCAGACGGAGGGCGUGGGGCUGCACAAAGCAUCUGACACUGCAGACCUCAGUCCUGUCAGAGCUGCAGCUUCAAUACCGGUGCUGGAUGGAACCUGGCACCAGCAUUGAAGCAACUGAAUCAGGCUCCAGAGCUCUGGUGACUGCAGUGAAAGCCAGGACACCCAGCUCACACCUGGACACUUGAAUUCUCUAACAGAAAAGCCAAAUUCUACCCUCUCUGUUCUGUAAAAUAUGUAUGGAGAGUAUUAUUCAUGCAUAUUCCCUCUCCCCAACGACAAUAUGACUCUGGCAUCACAUCCAACCCUCAGCCCUCUCCGUUCCCCCACCUCUGGACCUGAAUUGAGGUCUUCCAAAAGCAAGAUCACAGGGACAAAAAAUGGGUGUCUUUUUUCCUGAUGCCUCCCAAAAGCAGGUGUGCUUAAAGCAGCCCAUAUGAGAAGACCUACAUAGUACUGAGAGGGUGCCAGAUGAAAAUGUUCAGUGCAUGAAACUGCUAAUUCUAAUAUUUUUUUCUUUUAAGUUAGUAAAUCAAUUUAAUUAAAAUAUGGUUUUGCUUUAAUCUCUCAGAUCUUAGAAAAGAAGCAGGGCCUGGCAUUUCUGUCUUCACUCCUUUCUUGAUUUGUCCAAAUAUAAUAACUUUGUACUUAAGAGAACAGUCUCCCCCUCAUUUUAGUUCUCAUAACCAGUUCAAACAUCAAUAAUAUCUGUGAGCAGUGUUGGAGAAAGACCUUGAAUGAAGAAAAUGAAAAUUUAGAUCAUUUGGAAUUGCUGAAAGAUAAUGUUCAACGAAGUAUUUAAUCUCAAACCAUAUGCUGUUGCUGUAACUCACAUACAUAUAUGCACAACCCUGUUGUGGAUAGCAUGCUCCAAAGGUCUUUGAAAUCUUAUUAUCAGAUAUAAAGUCUUCAGGGGCACAAUUCAGCUGGCACAGGAUUUGUACAAGACCUGCCAACUGGCUGCAGCAUUCUCAUUUCAAUGUUGCCACAGCUGACAUGGAGAAUUUUGAGGCAUUUCCUUAACAUUGUAUCAAGAUGCAGUUAGAAAAAAAAAACAACAGACCCUCAGGUAAAACACAAAGCCUCACACUUACCACAGAGAGUGCAUUAGCAAGAGCUGCUCCAGAGUAGGCACAAAAUAAUGCUGAGAAGAGAAGACCAAAGAAAGCUCAGGAUGAGGAAAAAAAAAAAAAAUUAUAAAAAAGCAAGCAACGUGGUCCAAAUGCACAGCAAAAUAUCCUCCCAGCUACCUAAUGUGAGGAUCACUGCUAGAGUUCAACACUUAGUUGAAAUGUCCCAACAAAAGGGGCCUAAAGUUGCACCAAGGGAGAUCUAGGUUGAAUAUUAGGGAAAAAUUUCUUCACAGAAAGGGCUGUCCAACCCUGGCACAGCUGCCCAGGGCAGUGGUGGAGUUCCCAUCCCUGGAGGGAUUGGCAGCUGUGUGGAUGUGGCUCUGGGGGAUGUGGGUUAGUGGUGGCCUUGGCAGGGCUGGGGGCACAUUUGGACCCGAUGUUCUUGGAGGUAUUUUCCAACACAAAUGAUUCUGUGACUGCAUUUUGUCUUAUCUGCUCUGUAGAGAUGGAUGGUGAAUGAUAAACAUGGUUUUGUCAAGAUGAAGCGAUGGUGGCAUUUCUUUUAUCUUUAAUUUCAUUUUAUUUGGUGCUACCUGACCCACAUGCAGUGGGAAUUGCAGAAAUUCUCCAUCAGGGCUGGACUUCAGAAAUUCUCUGCCCUGUGCCUUCAUGCUACAACCAGUUACCAAAGGGUCUCUUUGCACCAGGAUGCCAGAAUGGCAGAACAGGAGGCAAGGUCAGGCAUUCAAGGGUUAAAUCAAGGAAGAAAAAGCCACUGAGAAAUCCAGAAACUGUUCUCAGGGCACUGAGAUAAAGAUAAUUGGAGCCUGGGCAUAUCUUCACAGGAAUGUCUUAACUGGGAAAUUUCUCCAACUGUUCCCGUAGUGCCUGGUUUUGGCUGCUGUCAGAUGCGGGAUCUUUGGGUGGUUGGGUUUUAAACUGACCUGGUGCAACAGCUCCCUUCUGAUGAGACAUUUCGCCCAGUGAUACAUAAUCAUGAAAAGGCUGCUUCAAUGAAUCUGUUGAGUUGUUAACCGGUUAAACAUGCUCAUGGAUUAACUUGAGCACGUUCCAGUACAAACAGUACUUCCACCCUUUCUAGAUGUUUGCAUGUUAUCAGGGUCUAAAAGUAUUCUCUCUGUACUUGUACAAUCAAGCCCGAUGCUGAUGCUACCAGAGAAACAGCUCUUGCACAGUACCUAUUUUUGGGAUAGAGUGAUGAUUGGCUCUAAGCCUGUGCCUCUGUCUUAGGCUUGAAAUGCAAGAUGUGGCUGGGGGUGUAUAUUCUAUCACCAUCUGUUAGAGGUAGGGCAGUUAUCUUCUGCUCAUUGGGCCACCUGUGAAAACCAGGUGGGGCAGGGUUUUUUCAAUCUCUUCUACAAGCAAUCCUCCCUCUGGAAAAUAUCUUCUGCUCAUGGCCAGCGAGUGUCCCUGUAUGGCUGAUAAAAUUCCAUCAUCCCACUGGGAGGUGCUCUGCCCAGGGGGAGGAGCCAAGCAUUCCUACCUGGAUAUAAUCUGAGUCCUGGAACACCACAGCAGCCUCUGCCUCCUGCAUUCCCAGAGGAGCAGCUGUCCUCUCCACUGGAUUCCCAGAGCAAGACCAGGCCCAUCUACACCACCACUGGCCUUACAGAAGAAAACUCUACCCUACUACAGGAUCCCUGCUCCAGCAGAACCACAGCUGGCACUGCAGAAGGGCUGAGACACCACUGAAUGGGACUGCUGCCACCACCCUGACCCACAGAGUGUCAGCUCCUAUUCUGACUCUCUCAGAGCUGUUUUGUAUUACUGCAUUUUUAUUUUUUCUUUUAACUUUUUUUCCUAAUAAAGGUCUCUUAUUCUCACUCCCA